UCUGGAGUGACCCAUAAUCUGAUGGAAUCGAGCGGCAAUCCUCCGGUCCGAGGAGCAGGAACUUGAUACAAGGCUAGUUAACAUGGAUGAGUCUGCUUGACAAGAUAAAGUCUGUAAGGCCUAAAGUGUUGCAGAGUAAAUUAAGCGGAUAGAAGGAGAGGAAGAUUGCCGC
rnacentral:ncRNA from 1 species